UUAAAUUGAAGAGUUUGAUCAUGGCUCAGAUUGAACGCUGGCGGCAGGCCUAACACAUGCAAGUCGAACGGUAACAGGAAGCAGUUUGCUGCUUCGCUG
rnacentral:rRNA from 1 species